CUUUUUAUUUUAUUUUU
rnacentral:sRNA from 1 species